rnacentral:rRNA from 1 species
AGCAAAUCUCUUAAAGCGUUCUCAGUUCGGAUUGUAGGCUGCAACUCGCCUACAUGAAGUCGGAAUCGCUAGUAAUCGCGGAUCAGCAUGCCGCGGUGAAUACGUUCCCGGGCCUUGUACACACCGCCCGUCACACCAUGAGAGUUUGUAACACCCAAAGCCGGUGGGGUAACCUUUUGGAGCCAGCCGUCUAAGGUGGGACAGAUGAUUAGGGUGAAGUCGUAACAAGGUACC